rnacentral:rRNA from 1 species
GAAGGAAAAUUGAAAGGGGGUUCUAGCUACCACUUACAGAUGGACCCGCGGCGCAUUAGCUAGUUGGUGAGGUAACGGCUCACCAAGGCGACGAUGCGUAGCCGACUUGAAAGGGUGAUCGGCCACCCUGGGACUGAAACACGGCCCAAACUCCUACGGGAGGCAGCAGUAGGGAAUCUUCCGCAAUGGACGAAAGUCUGACGGAGCACCGCCGCGGGAGUGAUGAAGGGUUUCGGAUCGUAAAACUUCUGUUGGUUUGGGAAUAACA